rnacentral:rRNA from 1 species
AGCAGCCGCGGUAAUUCCAGCUCCAAUAGCGUAUAUUAAAGUUGUUGCAGUUAAAAAGCUCGUAGUUGAACUUCAGGCCUGUCCAGACGGUCCGCCUUAAUUGGUGUGUACUGUCCUUGGGUGGGUCCUACCUUCUGGCGAAGCGGCAUGGCCUUAAUUGGUUGUGUCGGGGAACCAGGACUUUUACUGUGAAAAAAUUAGAGUGUUCAAAGCAGGCAAAUAUGCUCGAAUACAUUAGCGUGGAAUAAUGGAAUAGGACGAUGGUUCUAUUUUGUUGGUUCUAGGACCGUUGUAAUGAUUAAUAGGGAUAGUUGGGGGCAUUAGUAUUCAAUUGUCAGAGGUGAAAUUCUUGGAUUUAUUGAAGACUAACUACUGCGAAAGCAUUUGCCAAGGAUGUUUUCAUUAAUCAAGAACGAAAGUUAGGGGAUCGAAGACGAUCAGAUACCGUCGUAGUCUUAACCAUAAACUAUGCCGACUACGGAAUCGGGCGAUGUUGACAAAAUAGACUCGCUCGGCGACC